rnacentral:rRNA from 1 species
UGGAUAUCUGCCUUUUGGUUCGGAAUACCCCGGGAAACUGGGGCUAAUACCGGAUGGUUCCUUCGGGAUAAAGAUUUAUCGCCAAAAGAUGAGUCCGCGUCCGAUUAGCUAGUUGGUGAGGUAAUGGCUCACCAAGGCGACGAUCGGUAGCUGGUCUGAGAGGACGAUCAGCCACACUGGGACUGAGACACGGCCAGACUCCGUACGGGAGCAGCAG